UUCUUUCGGGAGAAACUUAGUGGCGGACGGGUGAUAACGCGUGGGUAACCUGCCCUGUACAGGGGGACAACAGCUGGAAACGGCUGCUAAUACCGCAUAAGCCCUUAGCACUGCAUGGUGCAUAGGGAAAAGGAGUAAUCCGGUACAGGAUGGACCCGCGUCUGAUUAGCCAGUUGGCAGGGUAACGGCCUACCAAAGCAACGAUCAGUAGCCGAUCUGAGAGGAUGUACGGCCACAUUGGGACUGAGACACGGCCCAGACUCCUACGGGAGGCAGCAGUGGGGAAUAUUGCACAAUGGAGGAAACUCUGAUGCAGCGACGCCGCGUGAGUGAAGAAGUAUUUCGGUAUGUAAAGCUCUAUCAGCAGGGAAGAAAAUGACGGUACCUGACUAAGAAGCACCGGCUAAAUACGUGCCAGCAGCCGCGGUAAUACGUAUGGUGCAAGCGUUAUCCGGAUUUACUGGGUGUAAAGGGAGCGUAGGUGGCAAGGCAAGCCAGAAGUGAAAACCCGGGGCUCAACCGCGGGAUUGCUUUUGGAACUGUCAUGCUAGAGUGCAGGAGGGGUGAGCGGAAUUCCUAGUGUAGCGGUGAAAUGCGUAGAUAUUAGGAGGAACACCGGAGGCGAAGGCGGCUCACUGGACUGUAACUGACACUGAGGCUCGAAAGCGUGGGGAGCAAACAGGAUUAGAUACCCUGGUAGUCCACGCGGUAAACGAUGAAUACUAGAUGUCGGGAAGCAAAGCUUCUCGGUGUCGUCGCAAACGAAUAAGUAUUCCACCUGGGGAGUAC
rnacentral:rRNA from 1 species